rnacentral:rRNA from 1 species
AGAGUUUGAUCCUGGCUCAGAUUGAACGCUGGCGGCGUGCUUAACACAUGCAAGUCGUGCGAGAAAGGGGACUUCGGUCCCUGAGUAGAGCGGCGCACGGGUGAGUAACGCGUGGAUUAUCUACCCAGAUAUUCGGGAUAACGGCGGGAAACUGCCGCUAAUACCGGAUACGCUCCAAUUUCGGUUGGGGGAAAGGCGGCCUCUGCUUGCAAGCUGUCGUAUCUGGAUGAGUCCGCGUCCCAUUAGCUUGUUGGUGGGGUAAUGGCCUACCAAGGCGACGAUGGGUAGCUGGUCUGAGAGGAUGAUCAGCCACACUGGAACUGAAACACGGUCCAGACUCCUACGGGAGGCAGCAGUGGGGAAUAUUGCGCAAUGGGGGAAA